rnacentral:rRNA from 1 species
AGUGAACGCUGGCGGUAGGCCUAACACAUGCAAGUCGAACGGCAGCACAGUAAGAGCUUGCUCUUACGGGUGGCGAGUGGCGGACGGGUGAGGAAUACAUCGGAAUCUACUUUUUCGUGGGGGAUAACGUAGGGAAACUUACGCUAAUACCGCAUACGACCUACGGGUGAAAGCAGGGGAUCUUCGGACCUUGCGCGAUUGAAUGAGCCGAUGUCGGAUUAGCUAGUUGGCGGGGUAAAGGCCCACCAAGGCGACGAUCCGUAGCUGGUCUGAGAGGAUGAUCGGCCACACUGGAACUGGGACACGGUCCCGACUCCUACGGGAGGCAGCAGUGGGGAAUAUUGGACAAUGGGCGCAAGCCUGAUCCAGCCAUACCGCGUGGGUGAAGAAGGCCUUCGGGUUGUAAAGCCCUUUUGUUGGGAAAGAAAAGCAGCAGGUUAAUACCCCGCUGUUCUGACGGUACCCAAAGAAUAAGCACCGGCUAACUUCGUG